rnacentral:snRNA from 1 species
GGAUGGGAGGGAGAUCUGGCUGCGACAUCUGUCACCCCACUGAUUGCCAGGGUGGAUUCGGCUGAUCUGGCUGGCUAGGCGGGUGUCCCCUUCCUCCCUCACCGCUGCAUGUGCGUCCCUCCUGAAGCUGCGCUCGGUCAAAGAGGACAACCAUUCCCGCUAGAGGAGGACCAGUCUUAGGUCAAGGGUUUACGAGUAGCUGCCCUAACCUCCAAACAAGCUCUCAAGAUAUCAAAUCGGAUGUAUUGACUCAGCAGGUUGAAGUGCUGCUUGGGACGCCCAAGUGCUUGCUU